AACUCCGUUCAGCUUGAGACAGGCCCGGACGGCCAGAAACUGCAGUAGCAUAGGUCUUUCGGCCCUGAUUGAGCACUGUCUGGGCCUCAUGUGGAAAAACCGAUGAUGAAAUUGGGUCCGUAACAAAAUUCCCCACAUUCUGGUGAAGUGUCACCGGCUCAUGACCACCACGCGCCGGCCGUUGACCGGCGGCGAUUUUCCAACGGUGUCAGAAAUUUAUGAUUUUUCACAGGGAGAUGUAGAAUUUCAUGCUGAUCAUCACGGUAUGUUCCGUUUUCCGAAACGAGUUCAGGAUUGGCCGGAAUCUGCGAUUUUCCGAGCGACUGGCCGAAAAUUGCGAUCGCCGGUGAGGGCGCGUCCGGAGUCGGAAUUGGAUGAUUUUUUAGUCGAAGGUUCGCCUUUUCAUGGGUAAUCUUAUUGUCAGGCGCGUGUCCCUGUUUGAGCUCUG
rnacentral:lncRNA from 1 species